rnacentral:lncRNA from 1 species
GCUGGCGUCGCUGCUGUCAAUCCGCGGCGAGGUUGCUCCGAGCGCGGAUGGCGGGCUGACGGGAAGUCAACGCCGGGCUUGUGCUGAUUGCUUCGGUUGAUAGAGAGAGAGAGUUGAGGCAGAGGUGUUGCUGUCACGGCGGCAGCAAUUCUCGCCGUUAGAAGAGAGAGGGACGACGGCGGUGGAGGCUGCCGCCUGUUGCGAGAUCGGGUCAAAAUUGGAACAGGAGAUAUCGC